UACGUAGGGUGCAAGCGUUAAUCGGAAUUACUGGGCGUAAAGCGUGCGUAGGUGGUUUGUUAAGUCUGAUGUGAAAGCCCUGGGCUCAACCUGGGAAUUGCAUUGGAUACUGGCAGGCUAGAGUGCGGUAGAGGAUGGCGGAAUUCCCGGUGUAGCAGUGAAAUGCGUAGAGAUCGGGAGGAACAUCUGUGGCGAAGGCGGCCAUCUGGACCAGCACUGACACUGAGGCACGAAAGCGUGGGGAGCAAACAGG
rnacentral:rRNA from 1 species